CAGUAGCCGCGGUAAUACAGAGGGUGCAAGCGUUAAUCGGAAUUACUGGGCGUAAAGCGCGCGUAGGUGGUUUGUUAAGUUGGAUGUGAAAUCCCCGGGCUCAACCUGGGAACUGCAUUCAAAACUGACUGACUAGAGUAUGGUAGAGGGUGGUGGAAUUUCCUGUGUAGCGGUGAAAUGCGUAGAUAUAGGAAGGAACACCAGUGGCGAAGGCGACCACCUGGACUAAUACUGACACUGAGGUGCGAAAGCGUGGGGAGCAAACAGGAUUAGAGACCCGUGUAGUCCCUGUCUCUUAUAC
rnacentral:rRNA from 1 species